UACGGGGGGGGCAAGCGUUGUUCGGAAUUACUGGGCGUAAAGGGCGCGUAGGCGGCCUUCUAAGUCGGACGUGAAAUCCCUCGGCUUAACCGAGGAACUGCGUCCGAUACUGAAAGGCUUGAAUCCGGGAGAGGGAUGUGGAAUUCCAGGUGUAGCGGUGAAAUGCGUAGAUAUCUGGAGGAACACCGGUGGCGAAGGCGGCCUGCUGGGCAGUAGCUGACGCUGAUGCGCGACAGCGUGGGGAGCAAACAGG
rnacentral:rRNA from 1 species